rnacentral:rRNA from 1 species
GACGAACGCUGGCGGCGUGCUUAACACAUGCAAGUCGAACGGAAAGGCCCUGCUUUUGUGGGGUGCUCGAGUGGCGAACGGGUGAGUAACACGUGAGUAACCUGCCCUUGACUUUGGGAUAACUUCAGGAAACUGGGGCUAAUACCGGAUAGGAGCUCCUGCUGCAUGGUGGGGGUUGGAAAGUUUCGGCGGUUGGGGAUGGACUCGCGGCUUAUCAGCUUGUUGGUGGGGUAGUGGCUUACCAAGGCUUUGACGGGUAGCCGGCCUGAGAGGGUGACCGGCCACAUUGGGACUGAGAUACGGCCCAGACUCCUACGGGAGGCAGCAGUGGGGAAUAUUGCACAAUGGGCGGAAGCCUGAUACAGCAACGCCGCGUGCGAGAUGACGGCCUUCGGGUUGUAAACCGCUUUCGCCUGUGACGAAGCGUGAGUGACGGUAAUGGGUAAAGAAGCACCGGCUAACUACGUG